CCUACGGGAUGCAGCAGUGAGGAAUAUUGGUCAAUGGCCGGAAGGCUGAACCAGCCAUGCCGCGUGAAGGUCAGUGCCCUAUGGGCUUUAAACUUCUUUUGUGCGGGAGCAAUAAUGGUCACGUGUGGCCAGACGAGAGUACCGUACGAAUAAGCAUCGGCUACCUCCGUGCCAGCAGCCGCGGUAAUACGGGGGAUGCAAGCGUUAUCCGGAUUUAUUGGGUUGAAAGGGUGCGUAGGCUGUGAGGUAAGUCAGCGGUGAAAUGCCCCGGCUCAACGGGGUGAAGUGCCAUUGAUACUGCCUUGCUGGAAUGCGGAUGCGGUGGGAGGAAUGUGUGGUGUAGCGGUGAAAUGCAUAGAUAUCACACAGAACACCGAUUGCGAAGGCAUCUCACGAAUCCGCGAUUGACGCUGAUGCACGAAAGCGUGGGUAUCAAACAGGAUUAGAUACCCUUGUAGUC
rnacentral:rRNA from 1 species